AUGUCUUCAAUAGCAUGCUCUUACUUCGUCUUUCCCUUAAUAAGUCAUCAAAUUUGGUGCUUUUCGAUCCCCAGUUGCUAUGGGGAACAAAGGCAGAAAUACAAUAGAAUCCUCCAUUUAAGUGGUUCUCGCUUCUCCUUGUUCCUGCUCCUAACUCCUCCCCGGGUAGUUCCCAAUGUUUGGCACUUUCCAUACUUUGUGGGUGCAACAUCAACAAAUUCGCUCAUGAUCAAGUUACAACCUAAGAUCUAUGACUAUAUUAUGUUAACUGUUCGUAUUUCAUUCAUUCCAUCGGUAUGCUCCCAGGUACCUGUAAUUGUGAUCUGUUUGCUAGAACCAACAGGUCUUUCUGUGGAAACCUUCAUGAGCAAUCGCCGUUUUUUGAUGGUUUUUCCGCUUUUCACAGCUGCUCUUUCCACACCCCCGGAUAUCUGGUGCCAAACCGUCGCCCCUUUCCUUAUAUAUUCGAUAAUCGAGUUUGCUAUCUUUGUGGCAUUGAUUGUACAAGUUCGUGAAGAGGGCUGGAUGAGUAGAAUGAGGGAAAGCGGCUCGAUCAAGAAAAAAGAGGAGUAG
rnacentral:rRNA from 1 species